AGAGUGAACGCUGGCGGUAGGCCUAACACAUGCAAGUCGAACGGCAGCACGGUAAGAGCUUGCUCUUAUGGGUGGCGAGUGGCGGACGGGUGAGGAAUACAUCGGAAUCUACCUUUUGGUGGGGGAUAACGUAGGGAAACUUACGCUAAUACCGCAUACGCCCUUCGGGGGAAAGCCGGGGACCAGCAAUGGCCUGGUGCUGAUAGAUGAGCCGAUGUCGGAUUAGCUAGUUGGUGAGGUAAUGGCUCACCAAGGCGACGAUCCGUAGCUGGUCUGAGAGGAUGAUCAGCCACACGUGGAACUGAGACGACCGGUCCAGGACUCCGUAACGGGAGGCAGCGAGGUGGGAAUAGUUGGAACAAGUGGGCGCAAGCCUGAUCCAGCCCAGUACCCGGCGUUCGGGUAGAAGG
rnacentral:rRNA from 1 species